rnacentral:rRNA from 1 species
AUGCACUACUGUCUGCGGCCCUACACCAUUUUGGAACGGUGCAUGAUUUUGUUUUUGUUCAAUGCAUUUUGUUACUGUUGUUUGGUGCGUACGCACGUCUGUUUGCUAGCAGUCGGCACUUGCACUCAUGAUCAUGAUCUGAUGGACAUGGUGACAACCUCCCCCACCCCGACUAAUCUGGAUCAGAUCGACCACAUCUCCCAAGUAUUCUGGGGUGCACUGUUAAACAAGGAUGUGUUCUGGGACGAGAACCUUGUAGAGGACACUCAGAUUAUGGCGGCGUAUCAUUGCCUUCUCUUUGCAUCAAUCAUCUCUAAAAGAAAAUGGCAGGUUGAGGGACAGAGAAGAUCAGAAGAUUGA